rnacentral:rRNA from 1 species
CUACGGGUCGCUCCAGUGGGGAAUAUUGCACAAUGGGCGCAAGCCUGAUGCAGCCAUGCCGCGUGUAUGAAGAAGGCCUUCGGGUUGUAAAGUACUUUCAGCGGGGAGGAAGGGAGUAAAGUUAAUACCUUUGCUCAUUGACGUUACCCGCAGAAGAAGCACCGGCUAACGCCGUGCCAGCAGCCGCGGUAAUACGGAGGGUGCAAGCGUUAAUCGGAAUUACUGGGCGUAAAGCGCACGCAGGCGGUUUGUUAAGUCAGAUGUGAAAUCCCCGGGCUCAGCCUGGGAACUGCAUCUGAUACUGGCAAGCUUGAGUCUCGUAGAGGGGGGUAGAAUUCCAGGUGUAGCGGUGAAAUGCGUAGAGAUCUGGAGGAAUACCGGUGGCGAAGGCGGCCCCCUGGACGAAGACUGACGCUCAGGUGCGAAAGCGUGGGGAGCAAACAGGAUUAGAUACCCCAGUAGUC